GAGAGCUAUGUGAAGCUGUUGCUGCUAACAAUGGUAAGAGUGUUUAAAGCGCUCGGCUCUCU
rnacentral:tRNA from 1 species